rnacentral:rRNA from 1 species
CCUACGGGUGGCAGCAGUGGGGAAUAUUGCACAAUGGGGGAAACCCUGAUGCAGCGACGCCGCGUGAGUGAGGAAGUAUUUCGGUAUGUAAAGCUCUAUCAGCAGGGAAGAGAAAAGAGGGUACCUGAAAAAGAAGCCCCGGCUAACUACGUGCCAGCAGCCGCGGUAAUACGUGGGGGGCAAGCGUUAUCCGGAUUUACUGGGUGUAAAGGGAGCGUAGACGGAAAGGCAAGUCAGAAGUGAAAGCCCAAGGCCCAACCCCGGGACUGCUUUUGAAACUGUGAAACUAGAGUGCGGGAGAGGUAAGCGGAAUUCCUGGUGUAGCGGUGAAAUGCGUAGAUAUCAGGAGGAACACCAGUGGCGAAGGCGUCUUACUGGACCGAAACUGACGUUGAGGCUCGAAAGCGUGGGGAGCAAACAGGAUUAGAUACCCUGGUAGUC